rnacentral:rRNA from 1 species
UACGUAGGGGGCAAGCGUUAUCCGGAUUUACUGGGUGUAAAGGGGGCGCAGACGGCGAUGCAAGCCAGGAGUGAAAGCCCGGGGCCCAACCCCGGGACUGCUCUUGGAACUGCGUGGCUGGAGUGCAGGAGGGGCAGGCGGAAUUCCUGGUGUAGCGGUGAAAUGCGUAGAUAUUAGGAGGAACACCAGUGGCGAAGGCGGCCUGCUGGGCUUUUACUGACGCUGAGGCUCGAAAGUGUGGGGAGCAAACAGG